rnacentral:rRNA from 1 species
CGAAAGCCUGACGGAGCAAGACCGCGUGAGGGAGGAAGGCUCUUGGGUUGUAAACCUCUUUUCUCAGGGAAGAAGCUCUGACGGUACCUGAGGAAUCAGCCUCGGCUAACUCCGUGCCAGCAGCCGCGGUAAUACGGAGGAGGCAAGCGUUAUCCGGAAUUAUUGGGCGUAAAGCGUCCGCAGGUGGCGAUUCAAGUCUGCUGUCAAAGCACGGGGCUUAACUCCGUAAAGGCAGUGGAAACUGAAUAGCUAGAGUGCCGUAGGGGUAGAGGGAAUUCCCGGUGUAGCGGUGAAAUGCGUAGAUAUCAGGAGGAACACCAACGGCGAAGGCAGCUCACUGGACAAUUACUGACGCUGAGGUACGAAAGCGUGGGGAGCG